AUGUCCACCUCCUCCGUUGUUCCCUCCUCUGGCCUCAACUACAACACCUCAGAACCUCUCAGCCGGACGAACUAUGUCCUCUGGCGAGCCCAAGCACGAUCCCAGAUACUGGGCGCUGGCUUGUUUGGCUACAUAGAUCGGACUAUCGAGGAGCCUCCAAAAACAAUCAUCAGCAAAGAUAAAGAUGGCAAAGAUCAGGUAGUUUCCAACCCUGCUCACAACCCUUGGCUCGUCCAAGAUCAG
rnacentral:rRNA from 1 species